rnacentral:tRNA from 1 species
GUGGCUAUAGCUCAAUGGUUAGAGCGCUGCUCUGUGGAAGCAGAGGUUGCCGGUUCGAGUCCGGUUAGCCACC